GCCGCUGUGGUGGAAUAGGCAGACACAAGGGACUUAAAAUCCCUCGGUAGCGAUACCGUAUCGGUUCAAGUCCGAUUAGCGGCACCA
rnacentral:tRNA from 1 species